rnacentral:rRNA from 1 species
AUGUCUAGCUCGACUUCGGCCACCUGCCAAUCAUGGACGCAGUAUGGUCCACUGCCGUUGACAAGAUGCCACGAUUGCCCGCGCAUGGAGCCUCUCAAGCGUUUGACUUGUGUGAGGGAAGAAAAUGGCAACCGUGGGCGCGAGUUUGUGAAAUGUUUGAGCAAGCCACAGCCGGGGCAGGUUCUGAAGAAAUGUGGGCAUUUUGAGUGGCUCGAUGACUAUGUUGAAAGGUUGAAACUGGAGGGCUCAACCCCAACCCAAGAGCUCAAUUUUGGGGGCGGCUUGCCGUGGAACAAGCCCCCAAUUUGGUGGACAGAGCCAAUCCGAUGA